GUGGGGCAGCAUGUCCCGCAGCAAUGCGGGAUGAUGGCGACCGGCAAACGGGUGCGGAACACGUACACAACCUUCCUUUUAGUGGGGAAUAGCCCGGGGAAACCCGGAUUAAUACCCCGUAACAUAAUGAAGUGGCAUCACUUUAUUAUUAUAGCAGCAAUGCGCUUUAAGAUGGGUGUGCGACUGAUUAGGCAGUUGGCGGGGUAACGGCCCACCAAACCUACGAUCAGUAACUGGUGUGAGAGCACGACCAGUCACACGGGCACUGAGACACGGGCCCGACUCCUACGGGAGGCAGCAGUAAGGAAUAUUGGUCAAUGGACGCAAGUCUGAACCAGCCAUGCCGCGUGGAGGAUGAAGGUCCUCUGGAUUGUAAACUUCUUUUAUCUGGGAAGAAAUCCACGAAUUCUUUUGUGGUUGACGGUACCAGAUGAAUAAGCACCGGCUAACUCCGUGCCAGCAGCCGCGGUAAUACGGAGGGUGCAAGCGUUAUCCGGAUUCACUGGGUUUAAAGGGUGCGUAGGUGGGCAGGUAAGUCAGUGGUGAAAUCUCCGGGCUUAACUCGGAAACUGCCAUUGAUACUAUCUGUCUUGAAUACCGUGGAGGUCAGCGGAAUAUGUCAUGUAGCGGUGAAAUGCUUAGAUAUGACAUAGAACACCAAUUGCGAAGGCAGCUGGCUACACGAAUAUUGACACUGAUGCACGAAAGCGUGGGGAUCAAACAGGAUUAGAUACCCUGGUAGUCCACGCCCUAAACGAUGGAUACUCGACAUACGCGAUAUACUGUGUGUGUCUGAGCGAAAGCAUUAAGUAUCCCACCUGGGAAGUACGAUCGCAAGAUUGAAACUCAAAGGAAUUGGCGGGGGUCCGCACAACCGGUGGAGCAUGUGGUUUAAUUCGAUGAUACGCGGAGGACCUUACCUGGGCUAGAAUGUCACGCGACAGAGGGUGAAAGCUCUUCUUAUAGCAAUUAUACGCGUGAUAGGGGCUGCAUGGCUGUCGUCAGCUCAUGCCGUGAGGUGGUUAGGUUAGUUCUCGCAACCAGCGCCACCCCCAUCACUAUAUUGCCAUCAGGUAACGCUUGGGAUCUCUAGUGAAACUGGCGUUGUAGAACCUUGAGGAAGGAGGGGAUGAAUGUUCAUUUAUCCAUGGCCUUUUUAUGCCGAGAGGUCUGCAC
rnacentral:rRNA from 1 species